rnacentral:rRNA from 1 species
UACGGAGGGGGCUAGCGUUGUUCGGAAUUACUGGGCGUAAAGCGCACGUAGGCGGCUUUGUAAGUUAGAGGUGAAAGCCCGGGGCUCAACUCCGGAAUUGCCUUUAAGACUGCAUCGCUAGAACGUCGGAGAGGUAAGUGGAAUUCCGAGUGUAGAGGUGAAAUUCGUAGAUAUUCGGAAGAACACCAGUGGCGAAGGCGGCUUUCUGGUCUGUAACUGACGCUGAGGCGCGAAAGCGUGGGGAGCAAACAGG